UCUCUAAAUUGACCAGGCUGGGCUUGAACUUGUGAUCCUCCUGCCUCAGCUUCCCAAAGUGCUGGGAUUCCAGAUUUGCACAGCCUCACCUGACAAACUGUGGGAGCCUGAGCCAGCCACUGCCCUUCUCUCACAUUCAAGCUGGGAAGAGGAGGCUCCAGGCAGGAACCAGCCAAGCCUCUUGGCAUCUGGACUUGGGCACCUACACUUUUCUUUGGCUGUGGGUCUGUCACACUCUUACAUGUUUUGUCCCUCCAUUUGUUCCAGUCUCUUUCCAAAUGUCACCUCCUCACCUUCCUGAGCCCCUGCUCAAAAUCUCUCCCCUCCCCUAGGUGCAAGACACACAUGACAUAGGUUUUGGAAAAGAGACUUUGAUACAUAUUCCACAUCAUAUGCUAGGGUGAAACCUAAAUGUAUCCACGUUUUACAUGUAAAAUCUGAAAGCACAAAAGUACCAGAAGAGAAAGGAAAGGCUGGGAAUGUAGCUCAGUGACAGAGCACUUGCCUAGCAUGGGCAAGAUGCUGCUGUGUUCCCUCUCCAGAAACAGAAACAGAGACAGAGAUAGAGACAAAGCGUGUCAGUGAGACAGAGAGAGAGAGAGACAGACAGACAGACACUGAAAGACAGGAGUAAGGGAGGACAAUCACUUGAGCCCAGGAGUUCAAAACCAGCCUGGCCCACAUAGUGAAGCUCCAUCUCUUAAAAAAAUAGUCAAGAGACAAACUGGUUAGUCAUCAGGGAAAUGCAACUCAAAGCCAUAAUGAAAGAGCUCCCACUAGGAUGUUAUAAUCAAAAUGAUGGAUAAUAGUAAUAAUUUUAAAAGCCCACAGGUAAUAACAAGUGUUGAUGAGGAUGUGGAGAAAGUGGACCUCUCAUUGUGGUUCUGCUGCUGGUGGUGGGAAUGUAAAACAGUGCAGCCACCUUGGGAAACUGCUGGUGAUUCCUCAAAAGAUUAAAUGCACUUGGGUUUCUUCUGAGGACCUGCAGUCUUCACCUUUCCCUGGCCAGCAUCUCCUGGCUUCCAGCACAGACCCUUCAGCCUUUUGACAGCAACUGGGAGGGGACACCUCAGGGGCUCCAGGCCUUCGACUGGACCCUUUGGGUCUCCAGCGCACAGACAGACCAUUUUCACCCUUCCACACUUGACUGUGUGGGAAAACGCUUAGCUCCAGCAUCCUGACUGGCAUGACAAGAUCGAAAAAGCCAUGGAUCUGGCGAAGUUCCACAUCAUGAUUGCGGUUCGAGAGGAGAUGCAGUUGGUCAAGGAACAAAUCUGGGACCUAGAGAAGGGCAAUGCCAUGCUUGAGCAGGAGAACCACCUUCUGCGAGGCCUGACCAGCCCUGAGCAGCUGGCCCAGUUGCCCUCCUCGAUGCUCUCCAGACUUGGGCUCCCCCCACCCAAUGGGGCCUUUCGUCUCCCACAAUUGCAGCCUUCUGGGGGCUGCAACUGAUGCCGAGCCUCAGGCCAGCUGCCUGUCCCUUCUUCCUGUACUGCUUUCGUGCCCUCUGAUCCCCAGGAUUGGGAGCUCAGCAGUGGCCUGCCCCCCUCCCCAGCCCGGUCUCCCCCAGUCCCAGGCCUUGAAGGAGGAGGGAGGGCUCAGCACAGGGUGGAGGAUGGAGCCCCCUCCCUCCCUAGGCCUCUGUUCUGGGUCCCCAGCAGUAGGUGGUUGGGCAGGAGGGGCUGGAGGCUUCCUGGCAGACCCCUCCCCAACUUAUUUUCCCAAAAUGACCCCUCUCUGCUCCUCAGGAAAGUGCAUAUGGACAGUAUCUGGAUGUUGCAGGAAUCACCUUGUUUUUGAAAUAAUACUUAUAAUUUAAAAAUCUGAAAAAAA